CCCCAGCCAGGACCAGAGUGAGAGAGCAAGAGACAAGAUCCCAGGCAGCAGGGAACUCAAGAUGACAAGCCUCUGUAGAUGGCCUCUGUCCGUGGUGGUGUGCCUGCUGCUGAUGUUGGCAGGCUGGGGAGCUUGUGCAGUAAUGCAGAUUCCAGACUAUCCCGGGGAAGAAGCCAACAUUGAGCAGAUGGAAGACUUCCUGUUCAAUCUUGGCAAAGAAUUGGAGGCUAUCAACAUGUCCCCUUACCGAAGGAGGAGACGCUAGGAGAUCAUGAAACAUUUCCGCAGAUUGUUGCUUCAGAGCCUUGGGCCAGGCUCCAAAUUCUAUUCUCUCCCAGGACCAAGAUUCUAAAGUGAGAUGAAUCAAGUGGAUCCCAAAGGCUGCAACAGUGUGGGGAUGGAUGGGGGGUGGGGAGGUCCUCACAGCCUACAGCAUAGAGAUUGAAUUACAAUGUUAAAAAAAAAAUGCUUAAAAAAGAAAGUGAGAUGCCACUCUGAAUUCCCCCUCUGGCUCCUGAGACUACUGAAUGAGGAUACUUAAUAUUUAGGCUUCCCAGACUAUCACCACCAGUGGCAAUGUCCUCUUGUCCUCUCAAAAGCCCUGUACCCCCCCCACACACACAUACACAUAUGCAUACACACAUAUACACAUGUAACUUCUUCAUUUCAAAUAUUGCAUUCUCCUCUGCUCUUCCCCCAAAUUUUCUGGUAUGAAAUAUAGCUUUUUGGAAACAGUACCAGAUAGAGUGUCUAGAGACCUCUAGCCCUUAGUAACCAUGUGAUCCUUUGCAAAGCACAUCCAUCACCCUGGUCUCCAGUUUCCUAAUCUGUAAAAUGGGGAUAUUAAUAUUUGUUCCACCUUCUAUACAAGACUG